rnacentral:misc_RNA from 1 species
UUAAGUUCAGCGGGUAGUCCUACCUGAUUUGAGGUCAAAUUGUCAAAAGAUUGUCCUUGCGGACGGUUAGAAGCAAGUCUAAGCCCCAUCCACGGCGUAGAUAAUUAUCACACCAAUAGACGGAGCCCAUUUUGAACUCGCUAAUAUUUUUAAGGGGAGCAGUCUGCUCGAAAGCGUUCUGCACAACCCCCACAUCCAAG